GACGAACGCUGGCGGCGUGCUUAACACAUGCAAGUCGAACGGAAAGGCCCUGCUUUUGUGGGGUGCUCGAGUGGCGAACGGGUGAGUAACACGUGAGUAACCUGCCCUUGACUUUGGGAUAACUUCAGGAAACUGGGGCUAAUACCGGAUAGGAGCUCCUGCUGCAUGGUGGGGGUUGGAAGGUUUCGGCGGUUGGGGAUGGACUCGCGGCUUAUCAGCUUGUUGGUGGGGUAGUGGCUUACCAAGGCUUUGACGGGUAGCCGGCCUGAGAGGGUGACCGGCCACAUUGGGACUGAGAUACGGCCCAGACUCCUACGGGAGGCAGCGGUGGGGAAUAUUGCACAAUGGGCGGAAGCCUGAUGCAGCAACGCCGCGUGCGGGAUGACGGCCUUCGGGUUGUAACCCGCUUUCGCCUGUGACGAAGCGUGAGUGACGGUAAUGGGUAAAGAAGCACCGGCUAACUACGUG
rnacentral:rRNA from 1 species